rnacentral:rRNA from 1 species
CCCCUAGACGUUCUGGGCUGCACGCGCGCUACAAUAAUACGCACAGCGAGUAUCACCGAGCUCGAAAGGGCAAGGUAAACAAUAGAAAAGGUACUGUAAUGGUUAUAGAUCCUUUUAAUUAUUGAUCUUCAACGAGGAAUUCCUAGUAAGUAUGUGUCAUCAUCACGCACUGAUUACGUCCCUGCCCUUUGUACACACCGCCCGUCGCUCCUACCGAUUGGGUGAGCCGAUGAAACUCUCGGAUGUAGGCUAUUCAUAGCCCGCAGAAGAGAUUUGAAUCGUAGCGCUUAGAGGAAGGAGAAGUCGUAACA